GAUGAACGCUGGCGGCGUGCCUAAUACAUGCAAGUCGAGCGAACAGACGAGGAGCUUGCUCCUCUGACGUUAGCGGCGGACGGGUGAGUAACACGUGGAUAACCUACCUAUAAGACUGGGAUAACUUCGGGAAACCGGAGCUAAUACCGGAUAAUAUAUUGAACCGCAUGGUUCAAUAGUGAAAGACGGUUUUGCUGUCACUUAUAGAUGGAUCCGCGCCGCAUUAGCUAGUUGGUAAGGUAACGGCUUACCAAGGCAACGAUGCGUAGCCGACCUGAGAGGGUGGUCGGCCAGCCGGGAACUGCGCCACGCUCAUGACUCCUGCCGGAGGCCGCAGUCGGGAAUCUUUCGCAAUGGUCGAAAGCCUGACCGAGCCAGGCCGCGUGAGUGAUGAAAUUGGUCGGAUCGUAAACCCCUGUUAUUGGGACAUAACAAAUGUGUAAGGAACUAUGCCCGUCUUGACGGUACCGAAUCAGACAGCCACGGCUAACUACGUG
rnacentral:rRNA from 1 species